rnacentral:sRNA from 12 species
GACCUAACCCGUGGGUUAUCCAUGGCAAGGUCGACAAACCCCAACGAAGACACUGAACCCCGCGUUCAGCCGCUCUUCGUUGGGUUAUGCCGGGAAACUGGCAUAGGGCCGCAAGGCCC